GGCCUUUAUGACCAGGGCUACACACGUACUACAAUGGCCGGUACAAAGGGCAGCGACACAGCGAUGUGAAGCCAAUCCCGAAAAGCCGGUCUCAGUCCGGAUUGGAGUCUGCAACUCGACUCCAUGAAGUUGGAAUCGCUAGUAAUCGCGGAUCAGCACGCCGCGGUCGAAUACGUUCCCGGGCCUU
rnacentral:rRNA from 1 species